GGCCAGAGUUGUGAGAGUCAGUGGAGCUGGCAUAGGACAGGAGGAGGGAGAGAGAAGGCAGCUGGGCCUGCUCCCAGCUCCUGCCUCAAGUCCAGGCCCUUGAAUACAAGGGUAGAGAGUGGGGGUGGGCAGAAGUAUGGCUUAGUCUGUCAGCAAAGCAGGGAAAACCAUGUCCUAUCCCUGCUUUCCAAAGGUCCACAUAGGAGGGAUCCUCUGCCUCCCAAAACCAGAAAGACAGGUAUGUCCCACACCAGAUUAGGCUAGGGUCUCCCAGAGACCCCAGGGACACAGCAACAGUAAAUGCCUGUUAAGGAAAUGGACCAUUUCAUGUGGUCAAGAAGAUGGGAUCUCUGUCCUGGGUGGAGACCUAAUAUUCUGGAUUGAUCUGGCUAAGGGACCACCCUAGGAAGUCAGUCUCCCCUUAAGCUGUGUUACAGAGCUAGGCAGAAUAAUUAUCCCUUAAAUGAGAGGCUGUACUUUGCCUUCUCCGAGUCCCACCCUGGAGCAUGGUGGCUUGCAGGCUCACAGCCAUGCACCUUUGUAAGGCUACCCACUUUUCUGAAUCUCUCAGAAAAACCUGUUAUUUCCUUUUAAAAUUUCUUUGUUGGAAGCAUGACUCAUCUUUAGGUGUCCCCACUCUUUCCCUAAAGUUCCCCCCUCCCUGCCACAUGGAGUUCUCUUUGAGUCCAUUCUUGAAUUCCUUUAUUAAAGAAACUAAAAA
rnacentral:lncRNA from 1 species